CUCAAGCAAACAGCCCUGAAUGAGAUUCUUGAGAUAGCUACUGAAAACUGGCAGCAGGAUUGAUGCUGACGCUUCAUAGGCUGUGGUAACCACGUGACUCACCGCCACGUGUCCACGCAGAAAAGUUACCCCUUGUUCAGCGCAUCCUCAGUGCAGCCCCAAGGCUGAAGUCGCCAGUACCCACCUCUCUGGGCAGCCCAGUGAUGUCCCUCAGCGAUGAGACUUCAGCAAAGGUCCCCCAAGAGUGGGCUGCACUGUUGGCAAACCUCCUCAGGAACGGCUCCUCGGUGGUGGUCCCUCAGCAGCAACAACCUCUCAAGAAUGGUCCCUGGCGACUGCCCCUUAGCAACAGCUCCUCACAAAUGACCCCUAGAAAGUGGUCCAGUAACUAGGUCGCCUCCCAGAAACAGAUCCUCGGCGACGGUUCCUCAGCACUGGCCCCCGCAGAAUCAGUUCCUUAAGCCGCUAGACCAUGGCCUCUUAACGGCCCGACUGCCCCCAGCCACCGUGGGUCUGAGGCUGCGUAGUUUGGGCGCGCAGCUCCAUGGCAACGGAAGGCUGCUUUGGGGUAGCGGGCGGGGCUGAGGCUGCGGAGGGAGAGCUUGUGCGCAGGCGUAGUGCAACAGCGGGGGUAAAGUGGGACGAGCAUCGCGGAGGGCAGAGUCAAAGCUGACUGUUGCCCAGACGAUUCUCCUGGAGACUGGGUCAGGUGCUCGAGAACUUGUCUAAAGCCAGUUGAAACUUGGGUCAACUGCUUACUUAAAAGACCAUUUACGCAGAAGUUAGGAUCUCCUGCGUCUCUUGGAUCUGAAUUCUGGCUCUCCCAGGGCUUUGCAGCCUGUGUUGUGCCCUCUAGGUGGUGACAUCUGACUCCUCUGUAUAACUCACAGGACUCUUUGGAUUGUUUUUGGUCGUUUAAGUUGGCGUGGUCACUAGUCCGGGCAGGAGGUGGGCUCAACAGUGGACAGGACAUGUUCCCUUUCCUCAGAGUCGCAGGGAUGACUGGCAACUCCUGUAGUUUUGUCUUGGAGAUGGAGAACCUUCAGCGUUAAGAAGUCCUCAAAAUAAUAUAGAGCCUGUGGAAAUGUCAGUGGAGAUUGGUGGGGGGUACCUCUGCACUCCCUUCAGAUACUUUGCCUGUGAAAUACCACUGCAAUACUGUAUAGGUGUGUGUGUGGCUGGGGAUCGAACCCAGGUGUUCUAUAAGUUUAGAGCUUUGUGUAUGGAAGCCGGAUGUCCUAGUAAAGCAAUUUGGGAAAGAUAGCCAGUUGGUUUGUAACCUUUAGCUGAGGGAGAAUGUGAACUGGGCCUCCUACUCUGGGUUGACCCCGGUAUAUGGCUGAGCAGAGAGGGUUGUGAAGUAACCAUAUCCAAUACUAAUAUUUGUGGUAUGAAGUAUAAUCCCCACUAUAGUAAAAUAAGUGAAUAAAUUGGUCUUCUCUUUCA
ensembl:processed_transcript 5830444B04Rik RIKEN cDNA 5830444B04 gene